GAGAUCACUUUGGUAGCACAUUUACUAAAAUUGAAAUGAUACAGAGAAGAUUCGCGCGGCUCCAGUACAAGGAAGACACACAAAUUGGUAAGCAUUCCAUAUUUUUU
rnacentral:snRNA from 1 species